UAUGUGUGCGCCACACGCUUGGGGAGCUGUUGUGUGUGCAUGAGGGGGAUAGCUGUGAUGGUACUCUUGUCACUGUUUGCUCCUUGAGGGAAGGUGUUUAUGAGCCCUUUCCUUGUGGUUUGGCUUGGGGCUUGUGAGUCAGUGGAUGGAAGACCAACAGUCUUGUCCCUUUGGGCCUGUUAAAAACAUUGCAAAUCAGAGGAUUACAAGAAUGGCAAAGGACAUAUGAAUGCCAAAGUAAAAAGGAGAAACCAGUUGUACUAUAGAACAAAUUUUAACCUCUGAACAACACCCCUGGGCAAUGUCCGCAAGUAGACACUUUCAAAACCAUUUGUUUGUGUCCAGAUGGAAUCUCUACUGCAGCUGUGUGUGCAUUUGGAGUGUUGCUUGCUGUCUAUGGUAUCAUUGUAGCAAGGGCCCAGAAGCUGCAAAUGGGAACAUGGACAGUGCCGGACGGCACCACCACCUUGGAGGGCAACAGCGGAGACCUCACCAGGCCCAAGGCAAUCUUGGAGGGCAGCAGAGGAGACCGCAGAGCCAGCGCCAUCUUAGACACCAGAACGUCCCCAAUUUGGGGCUCUGAGACCCGAUUCGUUGGAGUUGGAGACUGCAUAGUAAUGUCAACAGUAAUGAAGGGACAUUUGGAUUUUGAAUCAUCUACCAUUCCUUCUGUGUGAGACAGCCUACAUACAAGGUUUAUGAUGGCAUUUAUGAGCUAUGGACAUUAGCAGUUUACCAAUAUUAAAUCUGCUUAAUUUAAACUUUA